rnacentral:rRNA from 1 species
UUUAUGGAGAGUUUGAUCCUGGCUCAGAGUGAACGCUGGCGGCGUGCCUAAUACAUGCAAGUCGAACGGACAAGUAAGAGCUUGCUCUUAUGAGUUAGUGGCGCACGGGUGAGUAAUGUAUAGUUAAUCUGCCCUACACUGGAGGACAACAGUUAGAAAUGACUGCUAAUACUCCAUACUCCUUCUUAACACAAGUUAAGUCGGGAAAGUUUUUUCGGUGUAGGAUGAGACUAUAUUGUAUCAGCUAGUUGGUGAGGUAAUGGCUCACCAAGGCUAUGACGCAUAACUGGUCUGAGAGGAUGAUCAGUCACACUGGAACUGAGACACGGUCCAGACUCCUACGGGAGGCAGCAGUAGGGAAUAUUGCUCAAUGGGGGAAACCCUGAAGCAGCAACGCCGCGUGGAGGAUGACACUUUUCGGAGCGUAAACUCCUUUUGUUAGGGAAGAACAAUGACGGUACCUAACGAAUAAGCACCGGCUAACUCCGUGCCAGCAGCCGCGGUAAUACGGAGGGUGCAAGCGUUACUCGGAAUCACUGGGCGUAAAGGACGCGUAGGCGGAUUAUCAAGUCUUUUGUGAAAUCUAAUGGCUCAACCAUUAAACUGCUUGAGAAACUGAUAAUCUAGAGUGAGGGAGAGGCAGAUGGAAUUGGUGGUGUAGGGGUAAAAUCCGUAGAGAUCACCAGGAAUACCCAUUGCGAAGGCGAUCUGCUGGAACUUAACUGACGCUAAUGCGUGAAAGCGUGGGGAGCAAACAGGAUUAGAUACCCUGGUAGUCCACGCCCUAAACGAUGUAUACUAGUUGUUGCUGUGCUAGUCAUGGCAGUAAUGCACCUAACGGAUUAAGUAUACCGCCUGGGGAGUACGGUCGCAAGAUUAAAACUCAAAGGAAUAGACGGGGACCCGCACAAGCGGUGGAGCAUGUGGUUUAAUUCGAAGAUACGCGAAGAACCUUACCUGGGCUUGAUAUCCUAAGAACCUUGUAGAGAUACGAGGGUGCUAGCUUGCUAGAACUUAGUGACAGGUGCUGCACGGCUGUCGUCAGCUCGUGUCGUGAGAUGUUCGGUUAAGUCCGGCAACGAGCGCAACCCACGUAUUUAGUUGCUAACAGUUCGGCUGAGCACUCUAAAUAUACUGCCUUCGUAAGGAGGAGGAAGGUGUGGACGACGUCAAGUCAUCAUGGCCCUUAUGCCCAGGGCGACACACGUGCUACAAUGGCAUAUACAAUGAGACGCAAUAUCGCGAGAUGGAGCAAAUCUAUAAAAUAUGUCCCAGUUCGGAUUGUUCUCUGCANNNNNNNNNNGAUCAGCCAUGCUACGGUGAAUACGUUCCCGGGUCUUGUACUCACCGCCCGUCACACCAUGGGAGUUGAUUUCACUCGAAGCCGGAAUACUAAACUAGUUACCGUCCACAGUGGAAUCAGCGACUGGGGUGAAGUCGUAACAAGGUAACCGUAGGAGAACCUGCGGUUGGAUCACCUCCUUU